ACGGUUUCGACUUCGCGCAUCGAAUCAAGGGAAGCGUGCCGGUGCAGGCAAGAGACCACCGUAAGCGUCGUUGCGACCAAAUAAGCGCCGAUUCACAUCAGCGCGACUACGCUCUCGCUGCCUAAGCGACGGCUAGUCUGUCAGACCGGGAACGCCCUCGGCCCGGACCCUGGCAUCAGCUAGAGGGAUCCACCGAUGAGUCCGGUCGCGGGACUCCUCGGGACAACCACAGCGACUGGGAUCGUCAUCUCGGCUAGUUCGCGUGACCGGGAGAUCCGAGCAGAGGCAUAGCGAACUGCGCACGGAGAAGCCUUGAGGGAAUGCCGUAGGACCCGGGUUCGAUUCCCGGCAGCUCCACCG
rnacentral:tmRNA from 1 species